GUUACUAAUCAAUGUAGAUUCAUUUCGAUGAAUCAAAAGACUCAUUUAGAAAGCCCUAGUUUCACUUCUCCUUUAAACACCAAGCCUCUGCAACUACUCUCGAUUGGAUUUUUUAUUUUAGUCUCUGGUGAUCAUCAGCUCAUGCCAUGUGGUGGCUAUUAGAAGAAGAAGAUGAAGAAAAAGGUAGUAGAAAAGAACGCAAAUGGGUUAUAAAUUGAAUAAUAAUGGUUUUAUUAUAUGGGAUUCUGGUCUAGGAAUCAAGAAAUUUUGUUUCAAUACUAUUAUGAUAUAACCUCUUAAACCAAACCAAGUACCACUGGGCUCUCAGCUGUGUAGCUAUGAGAUCAACCGAUACCACAAGACUCCAACUGACUCAUUUACAAUUUGUGCUUUUACCGAAAAAAGUACACUCUGGAGGAUAUAAAAAAGAAAUCAGUGGGUCUACCUGGUUUCUUAUUUGGACCUGAUUUUGAUGUCUAUGGUCUGAUACUGGUUGAGAUUACAGGAUUGAAACGACCACAAUUUGAUUGCCGGAGAAGAAACUUUGAAUUCUUAUGUUGAGGAAGCACGCAGAGUUCCAUGCUAUUUUCAUAAUAGCAUCUCAAAAAGUAACAAUAGGUGGUGCUCCUGUAACUCCCACUACCAGUUAUGUUAGUCAGGUGUGUCCAAAAGGGAAGACACCAUUAACCCCAUUAACAUCUCACAUAGAAGGCUAAACUUCGAAGAUGAACCAAAUGAUGUUCGGGUGAAAAGGAUAAGGAUGCGGAUGCUGCAUGGGCUGAAAGCAAUAUAAUGAGCUACAUGAAAUCCCGCAAGGCCACAACCGAACUAAGAGGACGGAUCCCUCAUCUAUCUUUCCAUCGCACUAUGAUUUCUCCUCUAUGUAAAUUUCUUGACCAGAUCAGCAACAAAUGGCUUUUCAGUGGAGUCUGUUUAGGAAUGUGGUGGAGGAAUUCUUGUAAAUGCGGGCGAAUCCGGGAAUGUCAUUAUGGUUUUUCCUCUCAAAACAAAGGUAUAGAUUAGCGGACAGAAGUAUUUCUAGCAAGAUGUCAUUCCGGCUCUUACAUAAAGGGGGCUUCCCAAUUAGGAAUUGGAGAAGUCAAUUUAGAAGGUAGCUCAAGAAGUGUGAUAGCAUCACUGGAAGAAAGCCAAGCACUACCUGGUCAUUGGUGCUCUUAUGAGAUUUCACUAACUCAAUGGUUCUCUUGAAAACAAGGUAAAAACUACGCAUCUUUGCUACGUUUAGAGCCACAUUUUUGAAUGCCUCUCAAGUCCUCAGUGAUGGUUACAAUAGUGGAAAAACAGAGCUCAGAUAUAGCUAGCUGUGGUUUCUGUUUAGCACUGCUACGUCUUUUAUUUCCUUUGUACGGUGAAUUCUUGAUCGGCAAUUUCAACAGUGUUGAUAUACAUAAUCUUAGGGCCGAACCCCAUUUGCUUGAUCAUUGGAGGCUCCAGUGGGUAAGGACCACUGUCAGUAGCUCUUGAUUGUCUUUACCAUUCUUUGUUUUGGAUUUGAUCUUAUUUGCAUACUGAAUGGUGAAACUACUUUAAUUUCUGUAUAAUACUUGGUCUGAAAAACGUUUGUUUCAAACUAAAUGUUGUUAAUAUCGAUCAGGUACAC